GCUGCACACUAUUAAAGCUCAGGGUGAAGGCCAGCCUUGGCCAGUGAACCUCUUGAGUGUCGGAAGUGUGCUACAUUAAAGGCAGGAUUUUCGCUAACACCAGUAGAGCUUGCCUCUAUGACUGGAGUUUGAUAGUACUCUCUGCCACAUAC